AGGAAGAUUAAACACUUUAUUCAGGUGUGAAAAACUACCACGAACAAUUUGACUAAAAAUGGAGCAAUUUCGUCGGCGCAAAAGGCGUAGUUGUUUGUAGUAAAUAUUAUGUUGGGAUAAAGUUGGAAAGAUUUUCUCGUAAUAUUAAUCCCACUCCAAUCCUUGCAACUAUAAAUUAAUUCUUAAUCAUUUUACUAGACUGUAUACAAAGAAGAACAGACAUCCUGACACUCCAUAUCGCCGCUGAAACCGUAAACCGAUAAAAGACUGGUACUAAUCAUGGCGGGAAAUGUGACAUCAUCUGUGCCAUCCAGCACAUUAACAUUGCCAUUCACGCCUACCACGUACAGCAACCAGACCAUAACCAACACCUCCAUGGUGCCUGGAAAAAACAACACCUUGUCACCUCAUUUGGUCUACUCGGAAUCGUAUAAAAUCAUCAGCGCAACAAUAAUCUUUGCCAUCAUGGCAUUGGCCAUUUUUGGUAAUGUCUUGGUUAUCAUGGCAUUUCGCAAAUACCAUAAGCUCCGUACUGUGACUAAUUAUUUCGUCGUAUCCUUAGCUGUCAGUGACAUCCUCAUAAGCAUGCUCUCGAUGCCAACAUGGGCUAUACACGUCGUCACAGGACCAGAUCCAAAAUGGGAAAAAAUUGACCAAUCUGCGUUCGUGAUUUGGACUCUAUCUGAUAUCGUCUGUGGCCUAACCAGUAUUUUUAACCUCACCUGCAUCAGUAUUGAAAGAUAUAUCUGCAUUUCCUCGCCACUUCGCUACUACCAGCGCAUGCGCGGACGACGUGCCGUUAUUAUCAUUAUUUUUAUUUGGAUUUUCGCUGUAUUUCUGGCCGCCGCCCGAGGCAUAUUUCGAAAUACUGUUGUAGUUUUCGAAGUGAUGUACACCGUUAUCGGGUUCUUCAUUCCUUUAUUGAUCAUGGUGGUAAUGUACUCGAUGAUCUUCCGCGUGGCUUGUAAACAAGUGAAGAAAAUGGAUAUCCCCAUGAACGGCACAACCAAGAAAUUCCGCUUGAGGAAAGAGAUAAAGGCAGCGAAGACUUUAGGCAUUGUCAUUUCAGCGUUCUUUGUGUGUUGGAGCCCGUUCUUCGUGCUCAAUUUCUACGCAAUCUGUGGCAGUUGUUACCGCUCGUUGCGCAGUGAUAUUAUCAUUGCAGCGAAGUGGUUCCAUUAUGUAAACAGUGUAUUAAACCCGUUAAUAUACGCCAGAAUGAAUAAGGACUUUCGAGAUGGCUUUACACGUAUUCUGCUGCAGUGUGCGAUGAAUGUUGGGAUACGUGAGAACAUCAAUGAAACGGAUUUACCAGCGUUGGAUCGUAGAUCAUCAUCAGUCCUAACUGCCGCAGGAAGACGAAGAAAAUCCAGUACUCACGUUCAUGGGAGUUUUAGUACAACAUGAAAGAUUGACAACAUGAACACUUGUCUUUCGCGGCAAACAUAUUUUGUGCAUCACUCGAGCACUGUUCUUUGUGCUGUAGUCAAGUAUUGACAAACAUUUUUUUUUAACACUUCAACAGUUUGGGUGAAACAUCUUCGUACAUUCUCAUCCGCACAUUUAUUUUAAGCACUGUUUGCUUCAACAGAAACUGUGGACACUUCUACGAGUUUAGACGAAAUGUCUUACCACAUUUUCAAUUGAGCACUUAACCAUAUGAUGAAUGUCAAGGACUUUCAAGUACGAUUUGUACAAAGACGGUCUGAGUAUAUAAACUUGAUCUUUUCCCCAAUUGUUGAAAUAUAAUUAAGCUGGCUAGAGGCGUUGAUCUACGGGGGAAUUUCACAUUGGCAAUGCAUUGUACAGUUUUAUUAUAUGUAAUCUAUUGCAUAAAUUUUAGUAAUAAAAUUUAUAUUUGUACUUACCACAAUUAGACAUUGUUUUGGACGUGUUUCGUGUGUACUAUGGUAUGUUUACACCGUUCGUUCAUCGCGAGUUAUUCGGGCAACAUUCUGAAAAUGAAGAAAAAACGUCCUCAUAUGUCUUAUCAGGAAAUUUGGAUCCUUGAUCGAUAAGGAAGGAAAAUGUAAAAGUCUGAGGCCAGGGUCAAACGUCGAACUUUUCAUGCGCCGAACCUGAUGCAAAUAAAGUGAAACAAAGAACUUAGCUCAUUAACAUUAGGUUCGACGCAUGAAAAGUUCAACGUUUGACCCUGGCCUGAGAAACAGACAGUUUGACAUACAGGGUGUCCCAAAAAAGUGACACUAUAGAAAUUAUCCUAUUGUUAUGAUUUGAAUGCUUGAGCAGUAUGCUGAACACAAGAGUGCAUAAAAACAAUUAGCCUUUCUCACAAUGACGAAUAUCCGCCAUUUUUGGGUGGCAUCUAAUACACCCUUCCGGAAAGUACGUCACUUUAGCUAUAGAGCCUCGUUUUCGUGUAUCUGACAUCAGUUAAAGGCCGCGUCUCAAUCACGAAAACGAGGCUCUAUAAUAUAUAUGUGGACUUAUUAUCUCGCAGACUUCGGCUGAAAAGCCACCCAAAAAUGGCGGCGUGAGAAAGGCUAAUUGAAUCGAAUUUUUAAUUACCAGGCGCAUGAAAUCCUCUGCUUAACAACAAUAGGCACUUUCUCCUGAAUCCCACGAGAGAAGAUGCUUCCAGACUGACUCUACCAAACACGGUAGGGUUACUCACAUUACGUGACCAAUAAAAGUCGGUCCUAUACUGGACCUCUAGAGAGAACAGUACUAGUAGAACAGAAACUGAUAGAGCUAUCCAGUAGAAAUAUAUUGAGCCACUCAAACCAAGCGGUCCAAUAUCACCAACAUUGUUGGCUUCGUUGAGCACUGCACUGGACAAUCUGUCCGACCUAAGUAAAACUGAGGUUUAUUGUUUGUCCUACCCGAGUGCAUUGGUGUCCGACCGAACUGUAGCUUUGUCGAACGUAAAUCAAAACGUACCCUAAUCCACUAGAGGCUCGUAUGUUAAAUGUAAAAUCAGAGUAACGUAUAAAAAGUGAACCGGAAAUGUUGUUUUAAAGUAACCAAGCGCGGGGAAGCGAGCGAAAUGGUGAACUGGAAAACGAGCUUAAGUUGUUGAAGUCUUAGUAAAGCUAUAGUUUAUUGAGACGGGAGAUGGAUGCGGUUAGCGACUGCAUCUUACCGGUUUUUAAGAGGCCAUCCACCAAAUAGUGAUUUUUGCAACCUUUCUAAAAUUGACCGUUGAAUAACCUUCAUGUAGAACUUGUCCAAGUUCUGUCCAUCUCAGAGGCAGAGCGGUAAACACAAUAAACUUUCAUUUUAUAAGUCUCAGGCUCAGCAAACCAUCAUUUACUUUGACCGACUAUAGGCACAUGUUACACACAUCAUAAAAUCCCUUCUUGCACAGUCAUUAUACGUUUAUUAAGACAGUGAGGAGUAUGUAGUAUGUACAAUACUCGAGAAAGCAGUGAUUACGUUUGCCAGCAAUAUUUCGGUUCACUGGUCACACUAGUGAAUUCUGCAUAUGGGUACGGUUAACACUCGCCCUCGAGAGUCACAAACUACCUGGAAUUUAAAAGAAACCAGGUUGAAAAAAAUGAUGCAAGUGAAGUUAAAUCCAUUUGUAAAAAAAUGUCAUACCUUGCCAUUCUUGAUCAGUUAACAGUCGUAUUCAUCUUGCAAUGAGUAAACUCA
rnacentral:lncRNA from 1 species